rnacentral:rRNA from 1 species
GACGAACGCUGGCGGCGUGCCUAAUACAUGCAAGUAGAACGCAGUUUCGAACGGGUGAGUAACGCGUAGGUAACUUCCUCAUAGCGGGGGGUAACUAUUUGAAACGAUAGCUAAUACCGCCUACUGGUAGAUGGACCUGCGUUGUAUUAGCGAGUUGGUGGGGUAAAGGCUCACCAAGGCCACGAUACAUAGCCGGCUUGGGAGGGUGAUCGGCCACACUGGGACUGAGACACGGCCCAGACUCCUACGGGGGGCAGCAGGAGGGAAAUUUCGGCAAUGGACGGAAAUCUGACCGAGCAACGGCGCGGUAGUGAAGGAGGGUUUCGGAUCGUAAAGGUAUGUUGUUAGAGAAGCGAUAACUAACCAGAAAGGGACGGCUAACUCCGUGCCAGCAGCCGCGGUAAUAC